rnacentral:rRNA from 1 species
UACGAGGGGGGGCGAGCGUUGUUCGGAAUUAUUGGGCGUAAAGGGUGCGUAGGCGGUUCCGCAAGUCCUGUGUGAAAUCUUCGGGCUCAACUCGAAGUCUGCACGGGAAACUGCGGGGCUUGAGUGUGGGAGAGGUGAGUGGAAUUCCCCGGUGUAGCGGUGAAAUGCGUAGAUAUCGGGGAGGAACACCUGUGGCGAAAGCGGCUCACUGGACCAUAACUGACGCUGAUGCACGAAAGCUGGGGGGAGCAAACAGG